rnacentral:rRNA from 1 species
CCAAAAUCUCGACGAUAAAAAGCUGGUGGAUGCUGGUGAAGUUGAGAAAGUGAAAGCUGAAGCUAUCAAGGCAGUUGAAGAAAAAUAUGCUCCGAUUGUUGAGCAACGUGACGCACUAGAAGCCUCUUUACACAAAGAACUAAUCGGCGGUGGUUUUGCUCGUUCUAAGUACAUUCAAGACAACAUUGCAGUACCUGUGGACAUGGUUCAGGCAAC